rnacentral:rRNA from 1 species
GACGACCGCUGGCGGCGUGCUUAAAACAUGAAAGUCGAACGGAAAGGCCCUGCUUUUGUGGGGUGCUCGAGUGGCGAACGGGUGAGUAACACGUGAGUAACCUGCCCUUGACUUUGGGAUAACUUCAGGAAACUGGGGCUAAUACCGGAUAGGAGCUCCUGCUGCAUGGGGGGGGUUGGAAAGUUUGGGCGGUUGGGGAUGAACUCGCGGCUUAUCAGCUUGUUGGUGGGGUAGUGGCUUACCAAGGCUUUGACGGGUAGCCGGCCUGAGAGGGUGACCGGCCACAUUGGGACUGAGAUACGGCCCAGACUCCUACGGGAGGCAGCAGUGGGGAAUAUUGCACAAUGGGCGGAAGCCUGAUGCAGCAACGCCGCGUGCGGGAUGACGGCCUUCGGGUUGUAAACCGCUUUCGCCUGUGACGAAGCGUGAGUGACGGUAAUGGGUAAAGAAGCACCGGCUAACUACGUG